rnacentral:rRNA from 1 species
CUGGGCUUGACAUAUUUGGAUGCCUACCGGGAAACCGGGUCGGCUAACGUUCGGGGUGAAACUUUUAC